CCUUACCCGCUGAACUUAAGCAUAUCACUAAGCGGAGGAAAAGAAACUAACUAGGAUGGCCUCAGUAACGGCGAGUGAAGCGGCCAGAGCCCAAGAUGGUAAUCUCCGUGCUGAGCACGGCGAAUUGUAAUCUAGAGAGGCUAUGCUCACCGGGUGGUGGCGCAGAAGUGUCCUGGAACGGACCGCCAGAGAGGGUGACAGCCCCGUAUGUGGCGCCGCCGCCUAACGAGCAGGUCUUCAAAGAGUCGGGUUGUUUUGUAUUGCAGCCCUAAGUGGGAGAUAAACUUCUUCUAAGGCUAAAUAUAUGUGGGAAACCGAUAGCGAACAAGUACUGUGAAGGAAAGAUGAAAAGCACUUUGGAAAGAGAGUCAAAAGACCUGAAACCGUUGAGGAGGAAGCGGUAGAGAUGAAUUCUACGGCGAGGCGCUGAGAAGGCGGCCAAACCAUGGCGCGCAGGUCGUACGUAAAAGGCGGCAGUGUGUCCAAGGGGAAGCCGGUGACUUGCGCGGCGUCGUGAGGCCGGAUGGGGUGACGUGAUCACAGAGACUUGUUAAACUUGACUUGAUUCGUUGAGUAGUUUGAUAAUGUUGGUGGUUGCGUGGCUUGAGGAUGCUUAGUGCGAUCCGGUCAAAAUGGUCUUUACCGACCCGUCUUGAAACACGGACCAAGGAGUCUAACGUACGCGCGAGUGUGCCGGUGGAGAAACCGACACGCGUAAUGAAGGUGAGUGAUGCCAAGCGCAAGCAGCAGCAUCGACCGACCAUGAGCCUCUGGUGAAAGGUUUGAGUACGAGCGCGUCCGCUAGGACCCGAAAGAUGGUGAACUAUGCCUGCGUAGGGUGAAGCCAGGGGAAACUCUGGUGGAGGCUCGUAGCGAUACUGACGUGCAAAUCGUUCGUCGAACGUGGGUAUAGGGGCGAAAGACUAAUCGAACCAUCUAGUAGCUGGUUCCCUCCGAAGUUUCCCUCAGGA
rnacentral:rRNA from 1 species